GACGAACGCUGGCGGCGUGCCUAAUACAUGCAAGUUGAGCGCUGAAGGUUGGUACUUGUACCAACUGGAUGAGCAGCGAACGGGUGAGUAACGCGUGGGGAAUCUGCCUUUGAGCGGGGGACAACAUUUGGAAACGAAUGCUAAUACCGCAUAAAAACUUUAAACACAAGUUUUAAGUUUGAAAGAUGCAAUUGCAACACUCAAAGAUGAUCCCGCGUUGUAUUAGCUAGUUGGUGAGGUAAAGGCUCACCAAGGCGAUGAUACAUAGCCGACCUGAGAGGGUGAUCAGCCACAUUGGGACUGAGACACGGCCCAAACUCCUACGGGAGGCAGCAGUAGGGAAUCUUCGGCAAUGGACGAAAGUCUGACCGAGCAACGCCGCGUGAGUGAAGAAGGUUUUCGGAUCGUAAAACUCUGUUGGUAGAGAAGAACGUUGGUGAGAGUGGAAAGCUCAUCAAGUGACGGUAACUACCCAGAAAGGGACGGCUAACUACGUG
rnacentral:rRNA from 1 species